CUUCUCCACAUGGCCAAAUAAACGCCACAGCAACGCCGCCCAGACUCAUUUAAAGCUUCGCCUCACCCCGUCCGCCCCCUACGUAAGCUCACAGCCCGGCCCACCAGCAGGAGAGCCGAGUCGGACCAGACAAACCGAUCAGAGGAGGAGGAAGGUGCUGUGUAAGCACCAGUCCGUCAAUCUCUCAGAAGGAUGAAGUCUGCUCAGUCCUGAACUUCUUCUACAGAUGUGCAGUGGAGGAGAGUGUCCAGAUGUGUAACUGUGUGUCACUGUGUGGCAUGGCAGCUGCUCCACGGCAGAGAAGAAGGCUCCGCUGAGGGACAUCUACACCAGUAGAUGGAGGAUAAGAACCUCUUGGAUCCAGAAGAGCUCCAUUCAUCCAGCACAUACCCUGUUUGUCCCCCUCACCUCAUGCAGGAGGCUGCAGAGCUUCAUCUUCUCUCUGCUGUCCCUGCAGCACAGUCAGGUAUAUCAAGAGUGUGAAGGCCGUCACACGAGGAGAGCUGGAUGGGGCUGUAGAGCGACUUUAACCCAGCAGCAGCACCAGCCUCUGCUCCAACCAGUGCUUUCAUUUGCAACAAAACAGCUGAAAUGGAUUGACAGCAUUUUCUGCUUCUGAACCGGAGAGAUGAAUUUCCUUGAAGGAUUUUUUAAGCCGGUUACAUUAAAGGAAUAUCUUUGCUACCUCUGUGACUUCAUGAUUGUGGUUCAGGUUAUUUGUUUCCAGGAUUUCUGAAAACUGGGACUUUAAUGAGAAGUGAUUAACAUUUGUAGCCAACCCUAAUAUAAA